UACGUAGGCAGCAAGCGUUGCUCGGAAUCAUUGGGCGUAAAGCGCACGUAGGCGGUUCGUUAUGUCGGAUGUGAAAGCCCUUGGCUUAACCGAGGAAGUGCAUCCGAAACUGGCGAGCUAGAGUACUAAAGAGGAUCGCGGAAUUCCCGGUGUAGAGGUGAAAUUCGUAGAUAUCGGGAGGAACACCGGUGGCGAAGGCGGCGAUCUGGGUAGAUACUGACGCUGAGGUGCGAAAGCGUGGGGAGCAAACAGG
rnacentral:rRNA from 1 species